rnacentral:rRNA from 1 species
GCCUACACAUGCAGUCGUACGAGAAGGUUCCUUCGGGAACUGGAGAGUGGCGCACGGGUGAGUAACGCGUGGGGACCUACCUCUUAGUGGGGGAUAACGGUUGGAAACGACCGCUAAUACCGCAUACGCCCUUCGGGGGAAAGAUUUAUCGCUAAGAGAUGGACCCGCGUUGGAUUAGAUAGUUGGUGAGGUAACGGCUCACCAAGUCAGCGAUCCAUAGCUGGUUUGAGAGGAUGAUCAGCCACACUGGGACUGAGACACGGCCCAGACUCCUACGGGAGGCAGCAGUGGGGAAUAUUGGACAAUGGGCGGAAGCCUGAUCCAGCCAUGCCGCGUGAGUGAAGAAGGCCUUCGGGUUGUAAAGCUCUUUCAGAUGCGAAGAUGAUGACGGUAACAUCAGAAGAAGCCCCGGCUAAUUUCGUGCCAGCAGCCGCGGUAAUACGAAAGGGGCAAGCGUUGUUCGGAUUUACUGGGCGUAAAGGGCACGCAGGCGGUCUUGCCAGUCAGGGGUGAAAGCCCGGGGCUCAACCCCGGAACUGCCUCUGAUACUGCAGGACUAGAGACUAGGAGAGGGUGGUGGAAUUCCCAGUGUAGAGGUGAAAUUCGUAGAUAUUGGGAGGAACACCAGAGGCGAAGGCGGCCACCUGGA